GCUUGCUUUUUUGCUGACGAGUGGCGCACGGGUGCGUAACGCGUAUACAAUCUACCUUGUACAGGGGGAUAGCCUUUAGAAAUGAAGAUUAAUACCCCAUAGUAUAAUGAUUCGGCAUCGGAUUAUUAUUAAAGUUUCGGCGGUACAAGAUGAGUAUGCGUCCUAUUAGCUAGUAGGUAUGGUAACGGCAUACCUAGGCAACGAUAGGUAGGGGCCCUGAGAGGGGGAUCCCCCACACUGGUACUGAGACACGGACCAGACUCCUACGGGAGGCAGCAGUGAGGAAUAUUGGACAAUGGGCGCAAGCCUGAUCCAGCCAUGCCGCGUGCAGGAAGACUGCCCUAUGGGUUGUAAACUGCUUUUAUACGGGAAGAAACCCAGAUACGUGUAUCUGGCUGACGGUACCGUAAGAAUAAGCAUCGGCUAACUCCGUGCCAGCAGCCGCGGUAAUACGGAGGAUGCAAGCGUUAUCCGGAAUCAUUGGGUUUAAAGGGUCCGUAGGUGGAUUAGUAAGUCAGAGGUGAAAGCCUGCAGCUCAACUGUAGAACUGCCUUUGAUACUGCUAGUCUUGAGUCGUUGUGAAGUGGUUAGAAUAUGUAGUGUAGCGGUGAAAUGCAUAGAUAUUACAUAGAAUACCGAUUGCGAAGGCAGAUCACUAACAACGUACUGACACUGAUGG
rnacentral:rRNA from 1 species